rnacentral:rRNA from 1 species
AUUGAACGCUGGCGGCAUGCCUUACACAUGCAAGUCGAACGGUAACAGGUCUUCGGACGCUGACGAGUGGCGAACGGGUGAGUAAUGCAUCGGAACGUGCCCAGUCGUGGGGGAUAACUGCUCGAAAGAGCAGCUAAUACCGCAUACGACCUGAGGGUGAAAGCGGGGGACCGUAAGGCCUCGCGCGAUUGGAGCGGCCGAUGUCAGAUUAGCUAGUUGGUGGGGUAAAGGCCUACCAAGGCAACGAUCUGUAGUUGGUCUGAGAGGACGACCAGCCACACUGGGACUGGGACACGGCCCAGAAUCCUACGGGAGGCAGCAGUGGGGAAUUUUGGACAAUGGGCGCAAGCCUGAUCCAGCAAUGCCGCGUGCAGGAAGAAGGCCUUCGGGUUGUAAACUGCUUUUGUCAGGGAAGAAAUCUUCUGGGCUAAUACCCCGGGAGGAUGACGGUACCUGAAGAAUAAGCACCGGCUAACUACGUGCCAGCCGCCGCCGUAAGAC